GUUUUUGUUUGUAUUUUAUUGUUCUCAAUGUAUAUAUUUAAAUCCAAAUAAGUCACCAUAGUACUACUAAAAUCUGCCGUUAAAACUAUGCCUUCUUCAUUACAAUUUAUAAAAGAAAUAAAAUCCUUAGCUGAACUGACAGACCCCUUCCAAAUGAACAGCAGAUCAUCGAUAUAUCGAGAAUAGGAUACCAGGCUUUCCACC